UACAGAGGUCUCAAGCGUUGUUCGGAUUCAUUGGGCGUAAAGGGUGCGUAGGUGGGCAGGUAAGUCAGUGGUGAAAUCUCCGGGCUUAACCCGGAAACUGCCAUUGAUACUAUCAGUCUUGAAUACCGUGGAGGUAAGCGGAAUAUGUCAUGUAGCGGUGAAAUGCUUAGAUAUGACAUAGAACACCAAUUGCGAAGGCAGCUUACUACCCGAAUAUUGACACUGAGGCACGAAAGCGUGGGGAUCAAACAGG
rnacentral:rRNA from 1 species